GGGGCCGGGGGCGGGGCGUGGCUGGGCGGGGCGCUGGCGCUGCUCACGCUGCUGACUCUGUUCCUCGCCGCACUCUACCUCGUACACAGGAGACGUCGGGGGGCGUUCCUGCACGCGCGGUUGGCUGACAACGUGGAGAUCAGCAACCCUAUGUACCUGGCGGGCGAGGACGAGCCGGAGCUGCGCCCCGCACACGACGCGAACGGCGGCAACCACUUCGCCAACCCCGUGUACGAGAGCAUAUACUCCCCGCAGGACGCACACCCCACUGAGGAGCGCGCCAACUUGCUGCAGGAAGGCUCGCCCGCGCGCCUCUAGGCCGCUGCCGCUGCAGUGACUGAGCAGUGACUGAGCAGUGUGCAGGCGCAGCUACGACAUAUAUCAGUACAAGCGGAAGUCGCGGGAAUCCUCGACAUCGCGAAAGAUGGAGCUAAUUGUAUUUAAAAUUAUCUUAAAAUACUCAAACAUCAGCAACAAGUACAAUAAAUGUCUUCUAGUAAUUUUAUAACUUAAUAUAUAUAAGACGUUUACAUUUUAAUAGAGAAUUGAUUCAAUAUGAAUAAGCUUGGGUUUCUGAGACCAAAAUACCUAUUUAAAACAUAUUGUUAUCUCUGUUUCUUCAAAGAUACAUUACGAGAUGAAAAUACGUCUUAUACAGAGUUUUGGUCUCAGAAACCAUAGUUAAUGAGAUAAAUCAACCACGAGUUGCAGUCUCUGUAACAAAUGCAGAAUUUUUACAGAACAUUAUAACAGUUGUUGUUAAAUUUCGCAAACUUUCGCACAAUUUUGUAACAAUACUA